rnacentral:rRNA from 1 species
UGGGGAAUUUUGUGCAAUGGGGGAAACCCUGACACAGCGACACCGCGUGAGCGAAGAAGCCCUUUGGGGUGUAAAGCUCUGUCAACGGGAACGAAAAAAUGACGGUACCCGCAGAAGAAGCCCCGGCUAACUCUGUGCCAGCAGCCGCGGUAAUACAGAGGGGGCAAGCGUUGUUCGGAAUCACUGGGCGUAAAGCGCACGUAGGUGGAUAGUUAAGUUCGGGGUGAAAUCCCAGGGCUCAACCCUGGAACUGCCUCGGAUACUGGCUAUCUCGAGUCCGGAAGAGGUGAGUGGAAUUCCUAGUGUAGAGGUGAAAUUCGUAGAUAUUAGGAAGAACACCGGUGGCGAAGGCGGCUCACUGG